rnacentral:rRNA from 1 species
UGGGGAAUAUUGCACAAUGGGGGAAACCCUGAUGCAGCGACGCCGCGUGGAGGAAGAAGGUCUUCGGAUUGUAAACUCCUGUUGUUGAGGAAGAUAAUGACGGUACUCAACAAGGAAGUGACGGCUAACUACGUGCCAGCAGCCGCGGUAAAACGUAGGUCACAAGCGUUGUCCGGAAUUACUGGGUGUAAAGGGAGCGCAGGCGGGAAGACAAGUUGGAAGUGAAAUCUAUGGGCUCAACCCAUAAACUGCUUUCAAAACUGUUUUUCUUGAGUAGUGCAGAGGUAGGCGGAAUUCCCGGUGUAGCGGUGGAAUGCGUAGAUAUCGGGAGGAACACCAGUGGCGAAGGCGACCUACUGGGCACCAACUGACGCUGAGGCUCGAAAGUGUGGGUAGCAAACAGG